rnacentral:rRNA from 1 species
GUCCACGCCUUAAACGAUGAACAUUAGAUGUCGGGACAUAUUACCGUCUCGGUGUCGUAGCCAACGCGUUAAAUGUUCCGCCUGGGAAGUACGGCCGCAAGGUUGAAACUCAAAGAAAUUGGCGGGGGCCCGCACAAGCGGUGGAGUAUGUGGUUUAAUUCGAGGCAACGCGAAAGACCUUACCUAGGCUUGACAUCCCACGCUAUCCUAUGAAAGUAGGAGUUCCCGCAAGGGACGUGGAGACAGGUGCUGCAUGGCUGUCGU